rnacentral:lncRNA from 1 species
CAAAGCUCCAGGCCCUCCCUCUCCUCUCUGGCUUCCCGUGGCCCCUGAACUCCCCCUCGGGCUCCCUCUGCUCGCCGGACCUCUCUGGGAUGUGACCACCCUGGCUGCGAUGUGGUAACUAAAGACAGCAAAUACUGAAGCAGGAAAGAGAAGGUCCUUCUAACAGGAGAGACAUAAUGGCUGACUGGACCGGGGGAGGGAUAGUAAGAGUGACAGUAACAAGCCGUUAAGAGUCUGGAUAUAGUUUGAAGAAAGAGCCCACAGGAUCUGUGCUAACAGAAAUGAAGGACAAUGACAAGAUUUUUGUCUAAGCAACUGAAAAAUGGAGGUACUGGUUUGCUAACAUGAGUAAAAACAACGUAUGAGGAAGAAAUAUCAGGGGCCCAGUUCUGGGUAGGUUAACUUUGUUAUUAGACAUCUGAGUGGAGAUAUUGAGUUAAGGAACCUGGAAUUCAGACGAGAGGUCAGGGCUGAAGAUAUAAAUUCAGGAGUCAUCAUAAAUUCAGGAGUCAUCAUCAGAUAUAGAUAAUUCUUAAAGGAAUGAAAAAGAAUGAGACUACCCAGGGACUAAGUGAAGCUAGAGAAGCAGGGAGCCCAAGGACUGAAUCUGGGAUACUUCCAACACGAGGAGAAAGAGAACUGGCAAGGGUGACUGGAAAGAGGCCAGGGAAGAAUUCAAGAGUGGCGUGCCCAAAGACAGGUGAAAAAGCACCUGAAGAGGUGAAGAUCAAUUGCAACAAAUGCUGGAGAUGGCUCAAAAUGAGGACUUAGAAUUGACAAGGGAUUUAGCAUUAUGGAGAUCACUGGUGACCUGUGGAGAGUGGUUUCUGGUGGAGGACAAAGCCUGACUGGACAGGGUGAAAGACAGAAUGUAAGCAGAGGAAUUAAGAGCAGCAAGGAUGCACGCAUCUUUUGAGAAGUUUUACAUCCAACGAGUACAGUAGUAUGUGGCAGUAGCUGAGGGACUGUGGGGUCAGGACAGAUUAUUUUGUAAGACUGGAAAAAUUCUAUCAAUGUUUGAAUGAAUACUGAUAAAAGUGAUCUAGCAGAAGAGGUAAAGUGAAGAUGCAAGAGAUAGAAGUGCUACAGCAGGAAAGAGGGAAAAUAUCUACUGCCCAAGUACAAGUGUUAACCUGGGACAGGAACACCUAUAGAGAGACAAUCUGGACACACAAGAGAAAUGCACCAAAAAAUAAGACACACAGGCUAAAAACACACUGAUUUCCAAUGAGUGCUUGGUCCUUACCUUUUGUUGCUCUGUUCAUUUGCAACUUAUACCUAAU